AUACUUACCUGGCAGGGGAGAUACAGUAACAUGAUCAAGAAGGUGGUUCACCCAGGGCGAGGCUCAGCCUUUGCACUCUGGCUGUCUGACCUCUGCAAAUUCCCCAAAUGCGGGAAUCUCAACUGGAUCAUUUGUCCUAGUGGGGGACUGCGUAUGAGCUCUCCCCUC
ensembl:snRNA U1 U1 spliceosomal RNA